AUUGAACGCUGGCGGCAUGCCUUACACAUGCAAGUCGAACGGCAGCACGGGGCAACCUGGUGGCGAGUGGCGAACGGGUGAGUAACGCAUCGGAACGUACCUUUCAGUGGGGGAUAACGUAGCGAAAGUUACGCUAAUACCGCAUAUUCUGUGAGCAGGAAAGCAGGGGGUCGCAAGACCUUGCGCUGAUUGAGCGGCCGAUGUCAGAUUAGCUAGUUGGUGAGGUAAAGGCUCACCAAGGCGACGAUCUGUAGCGGGUCUGAGAGGAUGAUCCGCCACACUGGAACUGAGACACGGUCCAGACUCCUACGGGAGGCAGCAGUGGGGAAUUUUGGACAAUGGGGGCAACCCUGAUCCAGCCAUGCCGCGUGAGUGAAGAAGGCCUUCGGGUUGCAAAGCUCUUUCGGCCGGGAAGAAAUCGCACGGGCUAAUACCCUGUGUGGAUGACGGUACCGGAAUAAGAAGCACCGGCUAACUACGUGCCAGCCGCCGCGGUAAGAC
rnacentral:rRNA from 1 species